GUUUUUAUAAUUUAAUCAAAAUAUUAGUUUUGUAAACUAAAAUUAAGCCCGUCUUUAAAAACA
rnacentral:tRNA from 1 species